rnacentral:tRNA from 1 species
AUUUAUAUAGUUUAAACAAAACGAUACAUUUUCAUUGUAUAAAUAAUAUUUAAAUAUUUGUAAAUA